ensembl:lncRNA
CAGGUAGCUGGGUCCAGGGGCAGGCAGAAGGUCAUACACAGGAGGAGGCAGGUAGCUGGGUCCAGGGGCAGGCAGAAGGUCAUACACAGGAGGAGGCAGGUAGCUGGGUCCAGGGGCAGGCAGGAGGUCAUACACAGGAGGAGGCAGGUAGCUGGGUCCAGGGGCAGGCAGGAGGUCAUACACAGGAGGAGGCAGGUAGCUGGGUCCAGGGGCAGGCAGGAGGUCAUACACAGGAGGAGGCAGGUAGCUGGGUCCAGGGGCAGGCAGGAGGUCAUACACAGGAGGAGGCAGGUAGCUGGGUCCAGGGGCAGGCAGGAGGUCAUACACAGGAGGAGGCAGGUAGCUGGGUCCAGGGGCAGGCAGGAGGUCAUACACAGGAGGAGGCAGGUAGCUGGGUCCAGGGGCAGGC